CAGCGAGGGUCACGCCCCCGGAGCGCGUCGCAGCCCUCGGAACCAGGCGCUCGCCGGAGGAGACCAUACCAAACUCUUUUCUGUAGUCCCCUCGCGGACGUUAUUUCUUCACAGCUCCGAGCAAAAAUUCAAAUACGAAAUCAAAACUUUCAACAACGGAUCUCUAGGUUCUGGCAUCGAUGAAGAACGCAGCGAAAUCGCGAUAAGUAAUGUGAAUUGCAGAAUUCAGUGAAUCAUCGAAUCUUUGAACGCACAUUGCGCCCGCCAGUAUUCUGGCGGGCAUGCCUGUCCGAGCGUCAUUUCAACCCUCGAACCCCUCCGGGGGGUCGGCGUUGGGGACCUCGGGAGCCCCUAAGACGGGAUCCCGGCCCCGAAAUACAGUGGCGGUCUCGCCGCAGCCUCUCCUGCGCAGUAGUUUGCACAACUCCACCGGGACGCGGCGCGUCCACGUCCUAAAAACCCAACUUCUGAAAUGUUGACCUCGGAUAGGUAGGAAUACCCGCUGAACUUAACU
rnacentral:rRNA from 1 species